CAGUCGCCGCGGGAAUACGUAGGUCCCGAGCGUUGUCCGGAUUUAUUGGGCGUAAAGGGAGCGCAGGCGGUUUAGUAAGUCUGAAGUUAAAGGCACUGGCUCAACCAAUGUAUGCUUUGGAAACUGUUAGACUUGAGUGCAGAAGGGGAGAGUGGAAUUCCAUGUGUAGCGGUGAAAUGCGUAGAUAUAUGGAGGAGCACCGGUGGCGAAAGCGGCUCUCUGGUCUGUCACUGACGCUGAGGCUCGAAAGCGUGGGUAGCGAACAGGAUUAGAUACCCCCGUAGUCCCUGUCUCUUAUACC
rnacentral:rRNA from 1 species